GACGAACGCUGGCGGCGUGCUUAACACAUGCAAGUCGAACGGUAAGGCCCCUCGGGGUACACGAGUGGCGAACGGGUGAGUAACACGUGGGUGAUCUGCCCUGCACUUCGGGAUAAGCCUGGGAAACUGGGUCUAAUACCGGAUAGGACCACUGCCUGCAUGGGUGGUGGUGGAAAGCUUUUGCGGUGUGGGAUGGGCCCGCGGCCUAUCAGCUUGUUGGUGGGGUGAUGGCCUACCAAGGCGACGACGGGUAGCCGGCCUGAGAGGGUGACCGGCCACACUGGGACUGAGAUACGGCCCAGACUCCUACGGGAGGCAGCAGUGGGGAAUAUUGCACAAUGGGCGCAAGCCUGAUGCAGCGACGCCGCGUGAGGGAUGACGGCCUUCGGGUUGUAAACCUCUUUCAGCGCCGACGAAGCGCAAGUGACGGUAGGUGCAGAAGAAGGACCGGCCAACUACGUGCCAGCCGCCGCAGUAA
rnacentral:rRNA from 1 species